UGGGGAAUAUUGCGCAAUGGACGAAAGUCUGACGCAGCGACGCCGCGUGAAGGAAGAAGGUUUUCGAAUUGUAAACUUCUGUUAAGUGGGAAGAAAUACGCAGGUCUAAUACAUCUGCGGGCUGACGGUACCACUAGAGAAAGCACCGGCAAACUUCGUGCCAGCAGCCGCGGUAAUACGAAGGGUGCAAGCGUUAUUCGGAGUAACUGGGCGUAAAGAGCGUGUAGGCGGUCUAAUAAGUCGCAUGUUAAAUUCCACAGCUUAACUGUGGGUAUGCAUGCGAUACUGUUAAGCUGGAGGGCAAGAGAGAGAAGUGGAAUUCUCGGAGUAGCGGUAAAAUGCGUAGAUCUCGAGAGGAACACCGGUAGCGAAGGCGGCUUCUUGGCUUGUACCUGACGCU
rnacentral:rRNA from 1 species